rnacentral:rRNA from 1 species
UACGUAGGGGGCAAGCGUUGUCCGGAUUUAUUGGGCGUAAAGAGCGUGUAGGCGGUUCGGUAGGUCCGUUGUGAAAACUCGAGCUCAACCUCGAGACGCCCGAUGGAAACCCCCGAACUAGAGUCCGGAAGAGGAGAGUGGAAUUCCUGGUGUAGCGGUGAAAUGCGCAGAUAUCAGGAAGAACACCCGUGGCUAAGGCGGCUCUCUAGUACGGUACUGACGCUGAGACGCGAAAGCGUGGGGAGCGAACAGG